CCCUCUAUAAGUCUAUUCAUAUGUAUUUAAUUUCUGUGUCAGUGAUGCCAACGCUUUAACAUUGACCUUGGAAUUUCUUACUUGGUGCUGGAAAAAUCCGCUAGGUGUCGCCAACAAAAACUUAAAUCUGGAGACACCGUACUCGAAAUGAAACUAUUGAAAUCUUCCAGGCUCAGCUAUUUGACCGGAUACAAAUUACUUCAUUGCGGAUCAAAGAGAUUUGCUCCUGAUUGUUACAAUGAUGAUACAUUAAGGAGAGAAUACAAUCGCAGUAGGUAUGUAGAAGAAUAUAUAUUGAAAUAAAUGUUUUCAAUCAUGCAUCAUAUUAUGUACUUGCGGACAAUAGUCGCUACUUCUAUCAAUAAUGAUAAGAAUAAUAAUACACGUAAAAAUU
rnacentral:lncRNA from 1 species